GACGAACGCUGGCGGCGUGCUUAACACAUGCAAGUCGAACGGAAAGGCCCUGCUUUUGUGGGGUGCUCGAGUGGCGAACGGGUGAGUAACACGUGAGUAACCUGCCCUUGACUUUGGGAUAACUUCAGGAAACUGGGGCUAAUACCGGAUAGGAGCUCCUGCUGCAUGGUGGGGGUUGGAAAGUUUCGGCGGUUGGGGAUGGACUCGCGGCUUAUCAGCUUGUUGGUGGGGUAGUGGCUUACCAAGGCUGUGACGGGUAGCCGGCCUGAGAGGGUGACCGGCCACAUUGGGACUGAGGUACGGCCCAGACUCCAACGGGAGGCAGCAGUGGGGAAUAUUGCACAAUGGGCGGAAGCCUGAUGCAGCAACGCCGCGUGCGGGAUGACGGCCUUCGGGUUGUAAACCGCUUUCGCCUGUGACGAAGCGUGAGUGACGGUAAUGGGUAAAGAAGCACCGGCUAACUACGUG
rnacentral:rRNA from 1 species